GACGAACGCUGGCGGCGUGCUUAACACAUGCAAGUCGAACGGAAAGGCCCUGCUUUUGUGGGGUGCUCGAGUGGCGAACGGGUGAGUAACACGUGAGUAACCUGCCCUUGACUUUGGGAUAACUUCAGGAAACUGGGGCUAAUACCGGAUAGGAGCUCCUGCUGCAUGGUGGGGGUUGGAAAGUUUCGGCGGUUGGGGAUGGACUGGCGCCUUAUCAGCUUGGUGGGGGGGUAGUGGCUUACCAGGCCUUGGACGGGAAGCCGGCCUGGGAGGGGAGCCGGCGCAGCGAGAGUGGGACUGGGACACGGCCCAAACGGGGAGGGGAGGGGGGAGAGGGGGACAGAGGGGGAGGGGGCCAAGGCUGAACCCGCCGUGCCGGGGGAGUGAGCCUGGGGUUAGGGUUGGAAAGCCCCUUGAACGGUGACGGGAAUGACGGUAACGGGAGAAGAAGCCCCGGCUAACUUCGUG
rnacentral:rRNA from 1 species